rnacentral:rRNA from 1 species
GUCCAUGCCGUAAACGAUGUCUACUAGCCGUUGGGCCUUUGAGGCUUUAGUGGCGCAGCUAACGCGAUAAGUAGACCGCCUGGGAGUACGGUCGCAAGACUAAACUCAAAUGAAUUGACGGGGCCCGCACAAGCGGUGGAGCAUGUGGUUUAAUUCGAUGCAACGCGAAGAACCUUACCUGGUCUUGACAUACAGAGAACUUUUCCAGAGAUGGAUUGGUGCCUUCGGGAACUCUGAUACAGGUGCUGCAUGGCUGUCGU